UUCUGACCUAAGAUUACUUUUUAAUUUUUCUGAUUUAUUUGUUUAAAGAAAGAGAAUUUACAUACCACGAAAGCUUAAAUCUGUCAAGUUAUAUUACGUUCCUUACACAAAAAUGAUUUCAACUUAAUUGAUAGCCAAAGUUAACCGAGGAACGACAUCCCAGAUUAGCAUAUCCUCAAUUUGUGGAUCGUUUCUUUCAAUUCAUUAGUAAUAUAUUUAUCAAGCAGUCGGGUACAAUCCAUCCGUAAGACAUAGAUGUUUCAUGUCAUUUAAGAUAGCAGUGUACUUUGGUUCAUGGUUGAGACGUCUGUACAGAACACCACGGACAGUCGGACACAGUUUGUUGGACAGGAGUUGCAACAUGGCGAUGGGUAGCCAAUGAUGAUAACUGUGGCAUUUGUCGUAUGGCUUUUGAUGGAUGCUGUCCAGACUGCAAACUUCCAGGUGAUGAUUGUCCCUUAGUAUGGGGCCAGUGCUCAC